CAAUAGCGUAUAUUAAAGUUGUUGCGGUAAAAAAGCUCGUAGUUGGAUUUCUACCGAAGAUAGCCGGUCGGGUCUUCGACCUUGUAUCUGGUUUUGUCUUUGGUAUCCUCAUAGGGAACGUUUCUGCGCUUUAUUGCGUGGUGCGGUAUCUAUGACUUUUACUUUGAGGAAAUUAGAAUGUUCACGGCAGGCAAACGCCUUGAAUAUAUUAGCAUGGAAUAAUAACAUAGGAUCUUCGUCCUAUUUUGUUGGUUUCUAGGGCUAAGAUAAUGAUUAAUAGGGAUAAUUGGGGGCAUCUGUAUCAACGCGUCAGAGGUGGAAUUCUUGGAUUGCGUUGCGACAAACUACUGCGAAAGCAUUUGCCAAGGAUGUUUUCAUUGA
rnacentral:rRNA from 1 species